rnacentral:rRNA from 1 species
AAAUUCUGGUGCUCUAUGCUAAAGUGGAACCACGCCAAUCCAUCCCGAACUUGGCUGUGAAACUCUUUAGAAGUUGAUGGACUUGUUGGAAGUCUGGCAGGAAAACUCAACUAGCGCCAGGAUGA